GACAGAGGGGGCAAGCGUUGCUCGGAAUUACUGGGCGUAAAGGGCGCGUAGGCGGGAUGGCAAGUCGGUCGUGAAAUCCCUCGGCUCAACCGAGGAACGUCGAUCGAUACUGCUGUUCUUGAGGAUUGCAGAGGAGACUGGAAUUCCCGGUGUAGCGGUGAAAUGUGUAGAGAUCGGGAGGAACACCAGAGGCGAAGGCGGCGACCUGGACAAGUACUGACACUCAACUACGAAAGCGUGGGGAGCAAACAGG
rnacentral:rRNA from 1 species